UCAAGCGAACAAGUGCAUGUGGUGGAUGCCUUGGCGAUCACAGGCGAUGAAGGACGCGGUAGCCUGCGAAAAGCUACGGGGAGCUGGCAAACGAGCUUUGAUCCGUAGAUGUCCGAAUGGGGAAACCCGGCCCUUUUGGGUCAUCCUGGACUGAAUACAUAGGUCCAGUGAAGCGAACGCGGUGAACUGAAACAUCUAAGUAACCGCAGGAAAAGAAAUCAACCGAGAUUCCCAAAGUAGUGGCGAGCGAAAUGGGAUGAGCCUUGCACUCUUUAUUUGUAUUGUUAGCCGAACGCUCUGGAAAGUGCGGCCAUAGCAGGUGAUAGCCCUGUAGGCGAAAACAGUAUGAAAGAACUAGGUGUGCGACAAGUAGGGCGGGACACGUGAAAUCCUGUCUGAAGAUGGGGGGACCAUCCUCCAAGGCUAAAUACUCGUGAUCGACCGAUAGUGAACCAGUACCGUGAGGGAAAGGCGAAAAGAACCCCGGGAGGGGAGUGAAAUAGAUCCUGAAACCGCAUGCAUACAAACAGUCGGAGCCUCGCAAGGGGUGACGGCGUACCUUGUGUAUAAUGGGUCAGCGACUUACGUUCAGUAGCAAGCUUAACCGUAUAGGGCAGGCGUAGCGAAAGCGAGUCCGAAUAGCGCGUUCAGUUGCUGGGCGUAGACCCGAAACCAGGUGAUCUAUCCAUGGCCAGGAUGAAGGUGCGGUAACACGUACUGGAGGUCCGAACCCACUAACGUUGAAAAGUUAGGGGAUGAGCUGUGGAUAGGGGUGAAAGGCUAAACAAACCUGGAAAUAGCUGGUUCUCUCCGAAAACUAUUUAGGUAGUGCCUCGUGUCUCACCUUCGGGGGUAGAGCACUGUCAUGGUUGGGGGGUCUAUUGCAGAUUACCCCGCCAUAGCAAACUCCGAAUACCGAAGAGUGCAAUCACGGGAGACAGACAUCGGGUGCUAACGUCCGGUGUCAAGAGGGAAACAACCCAGACCGCCAGCUAAGGUCCCCAAAUAUAGCUAAGUGGGAAACGAAGUGGGAAGGCUAAAACAGUCAGGAGGUUGGCUUAGAAGCAGCCACCCUUUAAAGAAAGCGUAAUAGCUCACUGAUCGAGUCGUCCUGCGCGGAAGAUGUAACGGGGCUAAGCUAUAUACCGAAGCUGCGGAUGCGAGCUUGCUCGCAUGGUAGGAGAGCGUUCCGUAAGCCUGCGAAGGUGCCUUGUAAAGGGUGCUGGAGGUAUCGGAAGUGCGAAUGCUGACAUGAGUAGCGAUAAAGGGGGUGAAAGGCCCCCUCGCCGUAAGCCCAAGGUUUCCUACGCAACGUUCAUCGGCGUAGGGUGAGUCGGCCCCUAAGGCGAGGCAGAAAUGCGUAGCUGAUGGGAAGCAGGUCAAUAUUCCUGCACCAUUGUUAGAUGCGAUGGGGGGACGGAUCGCGGAAGGUUGUCCGGGUGUUGGAAGUCCCGGUCGCUGCAUUGGAGAAGGCGCUUAGGCAAAUCCGGGCGCGCAAUUCAAGGGUGUGGCGCGAGCUCCUUAGGGAGCGAAGCAAUUGGAAGUGGUUCCAAGAAAAGCCUCUAAGCUUCAGUCUAACGAUGACCGUACCGCAAACCGACACAGGUGGGCGAGAUGAGUAUUCUAAGGCGCUUGAGAGAACUCGGGAGAAGGAACUCGGCAAAUUGGUACCGUAACUUCGGGAUAAGGUACGCCCUUGUAGCUUGACUGGCCUGCGCCAGGAGGGUGAAGGGGUUGCAAUAAACUGGUGGCUGCGACUGUUUAAUAAAAACACAGCACUCUGCAAACACGAAAGUGGACGUAUAGGGUGUGACGCCUGCCCGGUGCCGGAAGAUUAAAUGAUGGGGUGCAAGCUCUUGAUUGAAGUCCCGGUAAACGGCGGCCGUAACUAUAACGGUCCUAAGGUAGCGAAAUUCCUUGUCGGGUAAGUUCCGACCUGCACGAAUGGCGUAACGAUGGCCACACUGUCUCCUCCCGAGACUCAGCGAAGUUGAAGUGUUUGUGAUGAUGCAAUCUACCCGCGGCUAGACGGAAAGACCCCAUGAACCUUUACUGUAGCUUUGCAUUGGACUUUGAACCGAUCUGUGUAGGAUAGGUGGGAGGCUAUGAAACCGGAACGCUAGUUUCGGUGGAGCCGUCCUUGAAAUACCACCCUGGUUUGUUUGAGGUUCUAACCUUGGCCCGUGAUCCGGGUCGGGGACAGUGCAUGGUAGGCAGUUUGACUGGGGCGGUCUCCUCCCAAAGCGUAACGGAGGAGUACGAAGGUACGCUAGGUACGGUCGGAAAUCGUGCUGAUAGUGCAAUGGCAUAAGCGUGCUUAACUGCGAGACCGACAAGUCGAGCAGGUGCGAAAGCAGGUCAUAGUGAUCCGGUGGUUCUGUAUGGAAGGGCCAUCGCUCAACGGAUAAAAGGUACUCUGGGGAUAACAGGCUGAUACCGCCCAAGAGUUCAUAUCGACGGCGGUGUUUGGCACCUCGAUGUCGGCUCAUCUCAUCCUGGGGCUGUAGCCGGUCCCAAGGGUAUGGCUGUUCGCCAUUUAAAGAGGUACGUGAGCUGGGUUUAAAACGUCGUGAGACAGUUUGGUCCCUAUCUGCCGUGGGCGUUGGAUAUUUGAAGGGGGCUGCUCCUAGUACGAGAGGACCGGAGUGGACGAACCUCUGGUGUACCGGUUGUCACGCCAGUGGCAUCGCCGGGUAGCUAUGUUCGGAAGAGAUAACCGCUGAAAGCAUCUAAGCGGGAAACUCGCCUUAAGAUGAGAUAUCCCUGGGGACUAGAUCCCCUUGAAGGGUCGUUCGAGACCAGGACGUUGAUAGGUCAGGUGUGUAAGCGCAGUAAUGCGUUCAGCUAACUGAUACUAAUUGCCCGUAAGGCUUGAUCC
rnacentral:rRNA from 1 species